rnacentral:rRNA from 1 species
CGGACGGGUGAGUAAUGUCUGGGAAACUGCCUGAUGGAGGGGGAUAACUACUGGAAACGGUAGCUAAUACCGCAUAACGUCGCAAGACCAAAGAGGGGGACCUUCGGGCCUCUUGCCAUCGGAUGUGCCCAGAUGGGAUUAGCUAGUAGGUGGGGUAACGGCUUACCUAGGCGACGAUCCCUAGCUGGUCUGAGAGGAUGACCAGCCACACUGGAACUGAGACACGGUCCAG